CAGCCGCCACGGUAACACCAGCAGCCCAAGUGGUGGUCGCGAUUAUUGGGACUAAAGCGCUCGUAGCCGGGCCGGUAAGUCCCUUGUGAAAUCGGACGGCCUAACCGUUCGGCGUGCAAGGGAUACUGUCGGUCUUGAGGCCGGGAGACGUCCGAGGUACUCCGGGGGUAGCGGUGAAAUGUUCUGAUCCUCGGGGGACCACCGGUGGCGAAGGCGUUCGACGAGAACGGGCCUGACGGUGAGGGGCGAAGGCUAGGGGAGCAAACGGGAUUAGAUACCCGGGUAGUCCCUGUCUCUUAUA
rnacentral:rRNA from 1 species